CGGCCUUGUGGGCCAGGCUGGGCGCGGCGGACUGGGCGCUGAGCGGGACGGAGAUCGCGUAGCCGUUGUUCUGCACCAGGAAGACCACC
rnacentral:tRNA from 1 species